rnacentral:snRNA from 14 species
GAGCAUGACAACGGUCGACGCGCCGCUCUGACACGCGACGCCUGCACAGGUCUGGUGGCAAGCUGACAAGGAGCAAGCCAGUCGAGGGUGUUGGCGCGCAGCAGCGCCAGGGCCAGGCGCGCCGGCGGCCGCG